rnacentral:rRNA from 1 species
UACGAAGGGGGCUAUCGUUGUUCGGAAUCACUGGGCGUAAAGCGCACGUAGGCGGAUUUGUUAGUCAGGGGUGAAAUCCCAGGGCUCAACCCUGGAACUGCCCUUGAUACUGAAAGUCUCGAGUCCGGGAGAGGUGAGUGGAACUCCGAGUGUAGAGGUGAAAUUCGUAGAUAUUCGGAAGAACACCAGUGGCGAAGGCGGCUCACUGGCCCGGUACUGACGCUGAGGUGCGAAAGCGUGGGGAGCAAACAGG